rnacentral:rRNA from 1 species
UGGCUCAGGACGAACGCUGGCGGCGUGCCUAAUACAUGCAAGUCGAACGAAGCUUUCUUUCACCGAAUGCUUGCAUUCACCGAAAGAAGCUUAGUGGCGAACGGGUGAGUAACACGUAGGCAACCUGCCCAAAAGAGGGGGAUAACACUUGGAAACAGGUGCUAAUACCGCAUAACCAUGAACAUCGCAUGAUGUUCAUGUAAAAGACGGCUUUUGCUGUCACUUUUGGAUGGGCCUGCGGCGUAUUAACUUGUUGGUGGGGUAACGGCCUACCAAGGUGAUGAUACGUAGCCGAACUGAGAGGUUGAUCGGCCACAUUGGGACUGAGACACGGCCCAAACUCCUACGGGAGGCAGCAGUAGGGAAUCUUCCACAAUGGACGAAAGUCUGAUGGAGCAACGCCGCGUGAAUGAAGAAGGCCUUCGGGUCGUAAAAUUCUGUUGUCAGAGAAGAACGUGCGUGAGAGUAACUGUUCACGUAUUGACGGUAUCUGACCAGAAAGCCACGGCUAACUACGUGCCAGCAGCCGCGGUAAUACGUAGGUGGCGAGCGUUGUCCGGAUUUAUUGGGCGUAAAGGGAACGCAGGCGGUCUUUUAAGUCUGAUGUGAAAGCCUUCGGCUUAACCGAAGUAGUGCAUUGGAAACUGGAAGACUUGAGUGCAGAAGAGGAGAGUGGAACUCCAUGUGUAGCGGUGAAAUGCGUAGAUAUAUGGAAGAACACCAGUGGCGAAAGCGGCUCUCUGGUCUGUAACUGACGCUGAGGUUCGAAAGCGUGGGUAGCAAACAGGAUUAGAUACCCUGGUAGUCCACGCCGUAAACGAUGAGUGCUAAGUGUUGGAGGGUUUCCGCCCUUCAGUGCUGCAGCUAACGCAUUAAGCACUCCGCCUGGGGAGUACGGUCGCAAGACUGAAACUCAAAGGAAUUGACGGGGGCCCGCACAAGCGGUGGAGCAUGUGGUUUAAUUCGAAGCAACGCGAAGAACCUUACCAGGUCUUGACAUCUUCUGACAAUUCCAGAGAUGGAACGUUCCCUUCGGGGACAGAAU